UCAAACUUGGUCAUUUAGAGGAAGUAAAAGUCGUAACAAGGUUUCCGUAGGUGAACCUGCGGAAGGAUCAUUAAUGAAAUGCACCCUCGGGGGGUUGUGCUGGCGCUCCGGCGCAAUGUGCACGCCCCCUCUGGCGUUCAGACCCCUUCACACCUGUGCACGAACCCGUCGGACGGGAGUGGUGCAUCACGCGCCCUCCGGUCUGGCCCUUCACAUCAGCUUAUUAUCGUACGUCGAAUGCAUCACUGCGCACGCGCAACCGAAAUACAACUUUUAACAACGGAUCUCUUGGUUCUCGCAUCGAUGAAGAACGCAGC
rnacentral:misc_RNA from 1 species